GUGAGGAAUAUUGGUCAAUGGGCGGGAGCCUGAACCAGCCAAGUCGCGUGAAGGAAGAAGGAUCUAUGGUUCGUAAACUUCUUUUGCAGGGGAAUAAAGUGCAGGACGUGUCCUGUUUUGUAUGUACCCUGAGAAUAAGGAUCGACUAACUCCGUGCCAGCAGCCGCGGUAAUACGGAGGAUCCGAGCGUUAUCCGGAUUUAUUGGGUUUAAAGGGUGCGUAGGUGGUUUGAUAAGUCAGCGGUGAAAGUUUGCAGCUUAACUGUAAAAAUGCCGUUGAAACUGUCGGACUUGAGUGUAAAUGAGGUAGGCGGAAUGCGUGGUGUAGCGGUGAAAUGCAUAGAUAUCACGCAGAACUCCGAUUGCGAAGGCAGCUUACUAAGCUACAACUGACACUGAAGCACGAAAGCGUGGGGAUCAAACAGGAUUAGAAACCCGAGUAGUCC
rnacentral:rRNA from 1 species